rnacentral:rRNA from 1 species
UACAGAGGGGGCAAGCGUUGUUCGGAAUUACUGGGCGUAAAGGGCGCGUAGGCGGCCUGCUAAGUCGAACGUGAAAUCCCUGGGCUCAACCCAGGAACUGCGUCCGAUACUGGUUGGCUUGAAUCCGGGAGAGGGAUGUGGAAUUCCAGGUGUAGCGGUGAAAUGCGUAGAUAUCAAGUGGAACACCAGUGGCGAAGGCGAGUCCCUGGACGACUCCUGACACUGAGGCACGAAAGCUAGGGGAGCAAACAGG